UUUUUCCUUUUACUAGGAAGCUGUAAAGUAAGAAUGUGCCUGUGUGCAUGAUCAACAGGCCUUCUGGGAGGUGAAGUUUAAUCUCCAUGUUGUCUGUCAUCUCAAGCAGUCCUAGGAGAUGGAAUGCUGGGGAUGUUCCUAACACCAGGUCGUUUGGAUAUGACCACAAGCUCAAGGACCUGUGCAUUAGCAAGAUGGAGCAGUUGUAUCUGGUAUGGAUCCUCCUGGUUUCCAUAUGUCCAGCAGUGUCAAAAUUUGUUGACCCAGGACUCACAGCUCACAAGAUACCUUCUUCAGUGAAAGUCCAUCCAUGUACAUCUCACCAUGUCAGAAUCACAAUGGUACAACCUCACCAAGACAUCAAAGGUUACUUUUCCUCCUGAUCAAACAUCUGGAAACACAACAAACAUAUGGAAAAAUCAGUGAUUCAGCCAUAGUUCAUCCUAAUUUGAAGAUCCAGUUAUUUGUGUCAAGAUGAAAGCAUGAAUUAUAGCCAGUAAAGGGCUUUGACAACUAAACUAGAACUUGAGUGAAACUGUGGCAUGAAAGUGUAAAAAUGAGAUCGACAUAUACCCUCCUCCAAUUGCUGCUUUCCCCUGGGCACAUCCUUCUGUGAUUUCAGAGUCCCUGGUGUAUCCAGACCUCUGCUUCAGAGAUCCUCGUGCAGCUCUCUGUGCAGCUGAGCUCCUUGUUUCUGCCUAAUACGACACAGGACUCCACCCAGUUGCUAUCCUCCAAAUGCACGUGACUGCUUAUUGGCAUGAUCACAUUCUCAUCCAAAUACUGAUGCGAUCAAUUUAUUUGUCUCAGGAGAGAACGGAGCAGCCACCGCUCAUUAGGUAACAAAAUCAGCCGAUUUGUGCGAAACUGGUUCAGUCAUCACAGCCUGAGAAACCUUGCAUGUCGUUUCCCACUCCAGUGUAUCCAAAGCAAGAACAAAAAAUGCUGAUUGUCCUCACCAUUCUCCAGGCUUUUAGUCACCAGAGAGAAGGCUGCAGCAGCAGCAGCGGCAGCAUAGCGCUGUGCUUGGUGAAAGCACAAGGGUUCCUGUCUCUGCACAGCACCACAUUAUCUCUGUGAUAGCUGAGGCACUCAACACUGGAAGAAAACUGUGGCAUCACGGUGAGACUGUUUCCAUAUUAUUGUAAGGAGGAGGAAAACAGAAUUUACAGGGAGGGGCAGAGUUUGUUCAUCCCUCUCACUUUGCUCUGCAUCUCAGUAAAACAAAAGUAUACAGUCAUGCACUUACAGAAGCCAGGCUCUGAGCUGCAACAUGUGGAAGCCUGACUCUGACAUCUGCAUCUGUAUGGGGUGAAGUUUCAGGCACUCUGAUUUCCUAAUUGCUUGCUCAAUUAGCAAGACGCUCAGAUUGUCCUCCAGAGAAGACCCUGUUCUCCCUCAGCAGCAUGUAUGGAGCAGAAAGCACCUAAUUUUGGAUCUCACUCCAGAGCCCUGCAUAGUUCAUAUCAUUUAUUUCAUCUAAUUGCAUGUGACCUUAUUUGGUGAUUCAUUAUUCCACAUGUUGUAUAAUUUGUGUUUUCUGAAAGUUCUGAAAUGAAAUGCAAUUAUACAGCGGAAGUACCCUGCUCUGCUAUGUGGACAGUGUGUUAUCGUUGUUGGACAUGCAUCACAAAUGCAUGAAGUAUUAGCUUUUUAAUGAAUACAUUACAUAGCAGCUGUAAUGAAGUUAAACUAAAAAUAGAAAGAGACCACUACUAGCCAGCAGUCGUCUUUUGUGUCAUAAUGUAGCAGCAGUGUCUCUAAUCUACCAAAGGGAUCAUUUGCACCCAAAGUAUUUUGCAAAACGCUGUUUUUAAAGUAUACAAGUUAUUAAUAUCUAUGGAGUUGCCGCCUCUUUCACUUACGGUAGCAAGAAUUGAACUCCAUUGACAUACAUAGAUCUAAAACCAGUAGAAGAAGAAAUAAAUUGAAGUCCACAUAUAUCUUCACAUACCAAUAAAUAUACUAGACCUAACACGUUUCAAACACAAGGCUGAGUUACCUUGUGUACUAUGCACUG